CUGCGCGGAAGAUGUAACGGGGCUAAAACUAUGUGCCGAAGCUGCGGAUGUAUACUUUGUAUACGUGGUAGGGGAGCGUUCUGUAAGCCGAUGAAGGUGUGUUGAGAAGCAUGCUGGAGGUAUCAGAAGUGCGAAUGCUGACGUGAGUAACGACAAAACGNGGGUGAAAAACCCGUUCGCCGAAAGACCAAGGGUUCCAGUCCAACGUUAAUCGGGGCUGGGUGAGUCGACCCCUAAGGCGAGGCCGAAAGGCGUAGUCGAUGGGAAAAUGGUUAAUAUUCCAUUACUUCUGUGUAAUGCGAUGAGAGGACGGAGAAGGCUAAAUCAGCCUGGCGUUGGUUGUCCAGGUGAAAGGAUGUAGGCAUGUAUCUUAGGCAAAUCCGGGGUACUCUAUGCUGAGAUCUGAUAGCAAGCUGUACUUGUACAGCGAAGUGGUUGAUGCCAUGCUUCCAGGAAAAGUCUCUAAGCUUCAGUUACACAGGAAUCGUACCCGAAACCGACACAGGUGGUCAGGUCGAGUAGACCAAGGCGCUUGAGAGAACUCUGCUGAAGGAACUAGGCAAAAUGGUACCGUAACUUCGGGAGAAGGUACGCUGUUGUUGGUGAUGGAACUCGCUUCCUGAGCUGACGACAGCCGCAGAAACCAGGCCGCUGCAACUGUUUAUUAAAAACAUAGCACUCUGCAAACACGAAAGUGGACGUAUAGGGUGUGAUGCCUGCCCGGUGCUGGAAGGUUAAUUGAUGGGGUUAGCGUAAGCGAAGCUCUUGAUCGAAGCCCCAGUAAACGGCGGCCGUAACUAUAACGGUCCUAAGGUAGCGAAAUUCCUUGUCGGGUAAGUUCCGACCUGCACGAAUGGCAUAAUGAUGGCGGCGCUGUCUCCAGCAGAGGCUCAGUGAAAUCGAAAUCGCUGUGAAGAUGCAGUGUACCCGCGGCUAGACGGAAAGACCCCGUGAACCUUUACUGCAGCUUGACACUGAACUUUGACCUUACUUGUGUAGGAUAGGUGGGAGGCUUUGAAGCUGGAACGCUAGUUCCAGUGGAGCCGUCCUUGAAAUACCACCCUGGUAAUGUUGAGGUUCUAACUCUGUCCCGUGAUCCGGGACGAGGACCGUGUCUGGUGGGUAGUUUGACUGGGGCGGUCUCCUCCUAAAGAGUAACGGAGGAGUACGAAGGUGCGCUCAGCGUGGUCGGAAAUCACGCGUAGAGUAUAAAGGCAAAAGCGCGCUUAACUGCGAGACCCACAAGUCGAGCAGGUACGAAAGUAGGUCUUAGUGAUCCGGUGGUUCUGUAUGGAAGGGCCAUCGCUCAACGGAUAAAAGGUACUCUGGGGAUAACAGGCUGAUACCGCCCAAGAGUUCAUAUCGACGGCGGUGUUUGGCACCUCGAUGUCGGCUCAUCUCAUCCUGGGGCUGAAGCAGGUCCCAAGGGUAUGGCUGUUCGCCAUUUAAAGAGGUACGCGAGCUGGGUUUAGAACGUCGUGAGACAGUUCGGUCCCUAUCUACCGUGGGCGCUGGAAAUUUGAGAGGAUCUGCUCCUAGUACGAGAGGACCAGAGUGGACGAACCUCUGGUGUACCGGUUGUGACGCCAGUCGCAUCGCCGGGUAGCUAUGUUCGGAAGGGAUAACCGCUGAAAGCAUCUAAGCGGGAAGCCUACCUCAAGAUAAGAUUUCCCUAGGACUUUAUGUCCUCUAAAGAGCCGUUCGAGACUAGGACGUUGAUAGGUUGGAUGUGGAAGCAUAGUGAUAUGUGAAGCUGACCAAUACUAAUUGCUCGUGAGGCUUGACUAU
rnacentral:rRNA from 1 species